UCUCCUCUGAGCCGACCAGUAGAAAAUAAACCUUCUGCCUUCCAAGAUCUCCGAGUGCCCCUUGGUUCUUCUGCCAAGUGAUCCAGACCAGUUUACGUAACAUUCGGUUCCCUGACCGGGAAACCCAACUGUGUUGGCCCAUUGUUGCCACCGGUUUGGGAAACCGGCAAGGCGGUGACAAGAUGAGGAAUCGCAACGGAGAAGGCUAGCCCUGCCUGAAUUUUGGCAGUCUCCCACUCGGUUGCCUCACGCCAGCCCCGCUCCACCGUUCCUGGUGGACUCAAGGAUACUUGGCAGGAGACGGUAUCCACCCCCAACUUCUGGCUUGGCCUACCCACACGCAUUCUCCCUGGACGCCCUCACACACCCUGGUUUGGGGAGGGCCACAUCAUUCUGAAACCAAAUUGAGAAGGACCCAAUACAACACCUCUAUCACCAUCACUGGUACGCUACCAAAUACCCAAGCUGCAACAAGAGGAUAGUACUCUGAGACACUGUCUCAGAAAAGCUGCCAUGCAAACCCUCUUUCAUCAAAAGGGCUAACGGGUGCCAAUGGAGACACACACUGCCAGAGUUCUUCAUCACACAUGAGAUUUGGAGAAAGCUGAGAAUGAAGUACCCAGCGCACUCUAUCAACCAGGUUGUAUCCGGAAUAAGAAAGGCCUGUGGGCUUAGGUCAAGGGAGCUCUCUGAAGGACUACAACUGAGAGCCCUGGGAACAAGAAGCCUGAAUUCAUUCUUUAGAAGCCAGUGAUUUCUGGAUUGGUCUAUCCCUGCCACUUUUCCCAUCAGUUGAAGGAGGCAGCAGUGUUGGAGCUGGAGCUACUGGGAUCUGAUGGCUCUGGCUCAGGAAUCUGCAACAAGGACUUGGUUCUCUCAUUCCUGGCAAGGGCUCUUCCAAUGCUGACCCCCUCCUGGUUCACACAGCCCAUAUGCAAACUGCCUGCUUCUCAGAAUGAAGGCAACUCAGUCAUCCGGGUCAGUGAGGCAAGCUGGCUCCCCUUCACCUUCCAUAGCACAGCAGGCCAAGCACCAAGUUGCCAGGGGCUAAAGGCCUUCUUCCCUUUGGUAUAACAGAGCCUGAUAGCCAUCACUAGCACAGGAGCAAAGGGGGAGUUUGCGGCCUACUCAGGGGCGCCAGCUGAGUGAAUGAUGGCUCCUUGGCUCCUAAAGGGAAAAACAAAUGGUCAGAAACACAACAAGGGGAAGGAAAUGGGAACUAAGAAGGCCAUAGCUCAACAUUUCCAGUGGUAAUGGGGAUCCAUUUCAAAAGAGAAUGUCUUGCUUCAUUUGCCCUGGGCCCAGAAGGAGGGAGUAGCUCCCUUCCCAAAUCUCUGGCCCAGCCUACACACCAAACAUCCUCUGCUGGGAUCCUUCAAAUGUCCUCAGUCCCUGAAUGGCCGCAUACUUCUGAAACCCAGUGACUUAACAAAGAAGGAGCCCUGUGGCAAAAUUUGUCCCCCAACCACAAGGACUGGAUGAGACUCCCAGGUGGAAGGCACAGGAUAGGGCUGACUCUGAACAGAUUGUGGGAAGAACCUUGUUUGUACAAGAGAGCAAAGAUGUGUCACGGUGGAUAGGGAGGACCAGAGCUCUUUAGAACUUGGAAGGGGAAUUCUAUGGAGAAGGGAGUGCCCAGCACCAGCUCCCAGAAACGUGGCUGGCUGUGGGAAGAAGAAGAAACACCAGAGGGCUCAGGCAAAAUCGCCCUCUAGAUCCUCCAUCUGGGAGCCCUGUCACCAACAGGCCUGCCUUCUUCCUUCAGAAGGACCUAGAGAGCCCUGGAACUUUGUCUGCUUUUUUGCUUUUCCCAUGAUUGAAUGGAGUGAGCAGUGACAGUGCUGUAGCUGGGAGGUGCCCCCAGCUGUGGCUCCAAAGUGUGGAGAGGGCAUUGGUGCAUUCUACCUGUAAAGGGCUCUUUCUGUGCUGACCACCUUCUGGAGCCUACUGCUCCUGUAUGAACUGUCUGCUUUUCAGAAGGAAGGUGCCUCAAUUAGGCAGAGCAAGAAUGCGAGCUGACACCCCUCCGCAACCCCUUGCUACAAACAACCAAGCCCCAAGCUCAGGGAUAGGAGGGCUAUGCUCCUUUGAGGUAUCUGAUGCCCAUGGCUGUUACUGAGCACAGGACUGAGUGGGAACCCGACGCCCAUCCCUGGGUGUCUGCUGAGUGAAUGCCGGCUCCAUGGCUCUUAAGGGUGAAUGAAGAGGGAGUCAGAAACAGUAAGGGGUAGGGAAUAGCUGCAGCCAGGACCAAAGUGCGUUCAAUAUUUCCAUCCAAUGGGAAUGCGAUCCAUGUGCAAUGGAGAUGUUUACCUUCAUUUCCCCUAGGCCCAAAAGGAGGCCAGCCCCCACACUAAUAUGUCUGGCACAGAAUCCACAAAAACAGUUCUUGGCUGUACUCCUUAUGAUGCCCUAGGACUCUGGAUUUCCAUCUAGUCCUGAAACCAAAAUGCCAGAGCCCCUUUGGCUCCAUCUGUCCCACAAUCACAAGGGCCGGUCACCCUUGGAGAUCUGCAAGUCGGAGAUAGUACUCAGAGAGAAUGAAUUUGUAUGGAACCCGAGACGAACCUUGAUGGAUAAUAAAGCAGUGUCAUGAAACUAGA